GUGCGGAUUAAUUUAUACGUUUUAUUGAUACUCACGAACAACUUAAACUUAAGUUAAAAAUUAUAUGUGGUAAGUUUCGACAUUGUAAAUGGAAAUUCAUUUGAUUAAGUGAUAAAGUGUGUAAUAAAUGCGUUUUGAGACAAAAUUCUGUACAUUUUCACGAAGCAUGCUGUUUUGGUUUAUUACCACGUGUUCAGAUAUAUUGUCAACUUUUGCUACACAAAUUUUAUACAUGAAAAUAUAUUAAUUCUAGCUAUUCAUGAUCAUAUGUAUCUUUUUACAUCAUUUAAAAAUUUGCUGUUUUUAGCAAUAAUAUAUUUGUUAAUUUCGUAUGUGUUUAAAAAUUCAUUUCUAAAAACUGCAUAAGCGUCUAUGCCUUUUUUGUUUAUAAUUUGAUAUAUGAGUACUUUUAUGAACUGAAUAUAUUAAGACAGUUAGGAAGAGAUUUAUAUCAUUAUACAUAGGAUCAUGUAUUUUAUAGCCCAGUACUAAAGUUUUAAAAUUAAAAAUAUGUGACCCAAUUUUGAUUUUGCUUACAAGUACAUAUAUUUUCUUCCAAAAUUCAUGAAAGAAUUGACAUUUGAGAAAAAAGUGUUCGUAAUCUUCAGUCAAGUUACACAAGUCACACAUACUUGUUUCUUGUAUGUGCCAUUGUAGUAAUAAUUGUUUACAUGGGAGGAUGUAAUGGAGUAAUUUCCAUCUUAACAUUUUAUAUUUGUUAUUUAUUAAAUAGGUAAAAGUAAAUUGAAGCACAUUAUUUAUUGGAGUGAUUGAUUCUAGAUUGAAGAUGUUUUUCCAUUUGGAAAAUCCUAGUGGUCUCUCAUCAUUUUUGUUAUUUAAAUGGUUAUAUAUAUCUUUGGAUGACAUAUUUUCAAUUAAUUUUGAUUUUUUGUUAACAGUCAAGGACAAGUUUAAUUUUGUUUUUAUAGAAGUUUUCAAAGAUUUGUCAGAUUUUAAUGUACUAACCCAUUCUUUUGGAAUACAUUUUUUCAAUUUUAAAAAGUUCGAGAUCCAAUUAGUUUUUUGAGGUUAGUUUCUCCAAUAUAACUUUUUUUGUGAUAUGUGACCUUUUUGAUCAAUUAUAUCGUUAAUGAAAAUAAUACCAUCUUUUUUAUCCAAUUUAGGUAAACCUAAACAUUUUCCUUUAAAUUUUAUGUUUUAUUACCCCACAACAUUUGCUGCCUAAUAUUUCUAAAAUUUAUGAUAGGUGUAUUACUUGAUAGUGUAUUAUUUGCUUCGUACCAGCUCUUUAACAUGUUCAAGUAAAAUGAGGGUAGUAUAUUACUUAAAUUAGGUAAUGAUUUUAUGUUGUCAGGCAUCAUAUGAAAUAUAAGGUUGUUUUUACCAAAUUUAUUGAAAUAAUAUGUUGGAAUGACUUUCCAAUUAGCAAAUUCUUUUGCCGGUUAAUCGUUUAACCCAUGAAAUUUGUAAUGCAUUUAAAAAGUAAUCAAUGUCUGUCAUUUUAGACCUCCAUUUGUGUAAUCUUUGGUAAGUGUUGAACGUUUUACCUUUUCUUGUUUAUUAUUCCAUAUAAAAUUGUAUAUGAGUUUUUUUAAAAUCUUUUAUGUACAUUUGGGGUAUUGAAACAACCGAAGCUAAAAAAGUAAGAUUAGGUAAAAUAAGCGACUUAACAACUGUUAUUCGACCUAUCAUUGUUAAAUUUCUUUUUUCCCAAUCAAGUAUUAAUUUUUUUUUGACUGUUUCAUUGUUUUUUUCAAUAUUUAAUUUGUCACAUUCACUUUUAUUUAAUCCAAAGUAGACACCUAAACUUUUAAUUGGUUCUUUGCUCCAGUGUAUAUUUUCAAUUUUUUCUUUACAAUGUUUAAGUCUACCAACCAUAUACCUUCUGUUUUAGAUUUAUUCAGUUUUAAACCAGAAAGCGUUCCAAAUAUUUCUAUUAGGUUCAAUGCUUGGUGAAUUUCAUUUUUAGAAUUGAGAAAGAGGGUUGUAUCAUCAGCUAAUUGGGAAAUUUUUAGACUAUGUGUUUUUUCAUCAAGUUUAAUUUGAAAUCCUUUAAUGUUAGAUCUUGUCUUACUCUACAGGCCAAGAUUUCAACUGCUAUUACAAAAAUAAGAGAACUUAACGGACAUCCUUGUUUUAUACCACGGUGAAGUCUAUAGGUUUCUGAGAUCCAGCCGUUAUUAGACAGGCAUCCUUUAGUAUCAUUAUAUAACGUUUUUAACCCAUUUUUAAGAAGGAAGGUGGUACUCCAAAUUUUAAUAGGGAUUCAUACAUGAAGGGCCAUUCUAAAGAAUCAAAGGCUUUGGAAAAGUCUAUGAACAAUAAGAUUCCUUCUAUAUUAAAUUUUUUCUGAGUAGUCUAUUAUAUCUUGAAUCUGGCGAAUAUUAAAACCUAUGUACCGAUUUUUAAUAUAUCCAUUCUGAUCACUAUGAAUAAUUUUGGACAACACUAGCUUUAAUCGCUGCGCUAAGGCAUAGGCCAUAAGCUUAGUGUCUACAUUUAAUAAAGUGAUUGGCCUGUAGUUGUCUAAUGAUAAUGGAUCAUUUUUUUUUAUAUAAUAAGGAAAUAACACCUAUUUUUUGGAGUGUUGUCAUUUCUUCUUUUUCAUAACAUGUAUUAAAUACUUUCACUGCGGAUUCUUUUAUGUAUGACCAAAAGGUACGAUAAAAUUCUACACUUAAACCAUCUAGUCCAGGGGAUUUAUUUAGUUUCAUAUUAAAUAUAGCAUUUGUACAUUCUUCUACUGUUAGGUUGCCCCCCAAUAGUUCACUCUCAGUAUUGGAUAGUGAGUGAUCUAUCUUUGUUUCACUUAUAUAAUUUUUUAUUUCAGAAGGAUCUGGUUCAGUACUUUUAUAUAAAUUUUGGUAAUAGUUUUUCCCAAGAAUAAGAAUAUCGGAUGCAUCUGUAACUAUGUUACCUUGAUUAUUUUUGAGGGCAGAAAUAGUUUUCUUAGUUUGUCUUGAUUUUUCAAGACCCAAAAAAUAUUUUGUGUUUUUUUCCCCUUCUUCUGCCCAUUUGACUCGGGAUCUGAUUUGUGCACCUCUAGUUUCUUUUAUAUAUAAAUUUUGUAAAUUGUUUUCUACAUUAUUUAUUUCUAUUUUAGAAUGUUCAGAAUUACUUGAUUUUUCGUAUAAGAAUUUUAACUUAUUUUCUAAAUGUUUAAUUUCAUUUUUACUUUCAGCAGCCUUUUGUUUGCAGUAUGUAAUGGUUGCCUCCCUUACUUCAGUUUUCAGAAUGUCCCAAGUAACUCGAGGAUCGUUAUUUUUGGUGAGUAUUAUUUCUUUAUGGGUGUCAAUUAAUUUAAUUAUUAUUUCUUUGUAUUUUGUAUCAUUCAGUAUACUGUUAUUUAUCUUAAAGAAUCCUUUGCCUUUAUUUUGAGCUUUAAGUCUUAUUUGUAAAGAGAUCGCUUGAUGAUCUGUAUGUGAUAUUAGUGCAGGUCUUAUGUCUGCUGAUAUUAUGUGAGGUCUUAUAUCUGGGCUUAUUAGAAAAAAAUCAAUUCUGCUUGCAACACUUCUAUUGUUUUUUCUUCUCCAUGUAAAUUGACUGCUGUUUUGAUUUAGUUCUCUCCAAAUAUCAAUAAGUUUAUAUUUUUUUUAUUAGUUGCUUUAAACUGUUAACAGGUUUAUUUUGAUUAUUAGGGCUAAUACUUUUUCUAUCAAAUGAAGUUAAACUUUCAUUCAUAUCACCCCCAUUAUUAAUAUUCCUAAGCGGUUAUUAUUAAUGAUAUUGUUUACUUUUUUGAAAAAUGAGUUUCUAUUUCGACGAAUGUUUGGAGCAUAUAUAUUCAGUAGUGUAAAGAUAUUACCAUCAAGUUCUAUAUUAAUGAGUAUUAUUCUUCCAUCAUUAUCUCUAGUUUCAUUAAUAAUUUUAUGUUUUAUGUUUUCUUUUAUAAGAAUUGUUACGCCUCUUGAUUGUGAAUUUCCGAAACUAUGGUAAAGUUUCCCUUUUAUCUCAUUGUUUAUAACAUUUUCAUGUUUUUCAAUAAAAUGUGAUUCUUGUAUGAAUAAAAUAUUACAUUUUUGUGUUUUUGCACAUAGGUUUAAUCUUUCUCUCUUUUCUUUGUGCCCUAAGCCUUGACAGUUUUAGGGAACAUAUAUUUAGUUUUUCACUCAUUAUAGAUAUAAUUCAUUUCUAUAUUACACAUAUCUUCAGAAUUAUACAACAGAGACAAUAGGUUGAGCUUAAAAAGUAAAUAAGUUGAUGUCAUAUUGUUAAUAUACACAUUGAAAUUGUUUACAUACACAUAUAAAAUUAUACACAUAUAAAUCAUAUAGAUAGGGUUGAUUUCUAAAUUACAUAGUAUCAUGUGUUUAAAACCAACAUUAAUGACGAUGAACUUUAUGUUGUGUGUGAUAAUCAUAUACUUGUUUACAUGUAUGUUUAUUUUUCUUUUCAGGUUGAGAUAUCUGUUGCAUAGAUGAGAUUUUGCAUUUUGCACAAGUUUACUUUUUGGAGUUUCAUGAUACGUAAAUGGGAGCAUUUUUCUCCCAGCGUUAUGAAGACUGUGAUUUU
rnacentral:lncRNA from 1 species